rnacentral:rRNA from 1 species
GAUGAACGCGUAGCGGGAGGGCUUAACACAUGCAAGUCGAGGGGCGAGCAUAGGGUAGCAAUACUCUGAUGGCGACCGGCGAAACGGGUAGGAGUAACGCGUAUGCAACCUACCCUCGGUACAGGGGGAUAACCCGGAGAAAUUCGGACUAAUAUCCCGUAAUAAUAUCCGGAGGCAUCUUUGGAUAUUUAAAGUUCCGACGGUACGGGAUGGGCAUGCGUAACAUUAGCUGGUUGGUAAGGUAACGGCUUACCAAGGCUAUGAUGUUUAGGGGUCCUGAGAGGGUGGUCCCCCACACUGGGACUGAGAUACGGCCCAGACUCCUACGGGAGGCAGCAGUGAGGAAUCUUGCGCAAUGGGGGAAACCCUGACGCAGCAACGCCGCGUGAGUGAGGAAGGCCUUCGGGUCGUAAAGCUCUGUCAGAUGGGAAGAAAUGGAUGGGGGCUAAUAUCGCCCAUCCUUGACGGUACCAUCAGAGGAAGCACCGGCUAACUCCGUG